CUCCCUUCGGGGCACGUGUACUAAAAUUGGAACGAUACAGAGAAGAUUAGCGUGGCUCCUGCGCAAAGAUGACAAGCAAAUUUGUGAAGCUUUCGGCUUUUUA
rnacentral:snRNA from 1 species